ACUGAAUUGGCAGAAAUAGUGCAUUAAAUUUAGAAUUUGAUUAUAUAGGUUUUACUAUAUUCAGUA
rnacentral:tRNA from 1 species